UGGGGAAUAUUGGACAAUGGGGGCAACCCUGAUCCAGCAAUGCCGCGUGUGUGAAGAAGGUCUUCGGAUUGUAAAGCACUUUCGACGGGGACGAUGAUGACGGUACCCGUAGAAGAAGCCCCGGCUAACUUCGUGCCAGCAGCCGCGGUAAUACGAAGGGGGCUAGCGUUGCUCGGAAUGACUGGGCGUAAAGGGCGUGUAGGCGGUUUACACAGUCAGAUGUGAAAUCCCCGGGCUUAACCUGGGAGCUGCAUUUGAUACGUGUAGACUAGAGUGUGAGAGAGGGUUUGUGGAAUUCCCAGUGUAGAGGUGAAAUUCG
rnacentral:rRNA from 1 species